rnacentral:lncRNA from 1 species
GUACCGAUAUAGAUAAUCUUGAAGUAAUUCUUGAUUCUUAGAUCAACUAGAGAACUCUCAGGAAACUACCUCUCUUCCCACCAAAAAUAAUUAUAUAGUUAUCCUUGGGCGAUCUUGGAUCUUAAUUAGUACACUCAUAUUCUCUGUGGAAAAUCGAUACUCUGGAAUACUCCCGGGUGAAAGCUACAUCGGUAUCCGUGCGCUUGCGGAUUUUUCUGUUUGCGUUUAAAAUACCCAACAAGCUUUCUGGCGCCGUUGCCGGGGAAUGGUAGCUGUGCUAGUUUCGAACCAAGUCGUCCGUGUAUCCUUUUUCUUUUCUUUUUUUACCACACUCACCUUAUCACUUUCACCAUACCACAUGGAUUUCACUCUAAGCAUUAAUGAGCAUGGAAUUUAUUUCAUAGCCACUUCAUUUACUCUAUGCUCACAUGCAACAUCUUCACAAUCCAUUGGUCUCUCCAACAUCACCACAUUCG